GAGCCAAUUCUGUACAUAAUCAGAACAGCUCUUGUUAAUUGUCUCCCUUGGCCCUAGUCAAUGAAGAACACAGUUGAGGAUGCUGGCGGUCUCCUAGCGUCUGUGACUCAAGUCAGAAAAUGGGCAAGGAAAUCGAAAAUGUAAAUCUUCCAGCAAACGUGUGUGUCAAGGAGAUGCCAGACUCCCGUCAGAAAAGCAAGCUAUCAUGAAAGACGCUCAGAGAUGAAAAACAGAAGAAUUUCCAGAGAGCAUAGGCCUCUCCAACCGGAAGUGGGGGCCUACACAGGGAGGGGCGGGACUUGCCGCCAUUGGCACGUUGCAGGCCACCUGAGGACUUGACUAGGACCCUUUGCUCCCGGACUCACACCAGCUGCAGAAGUGUCAAGUAGAAAUAUAAGAGAGGAUUUUAAGUGAUAUUUCUGUCUCUCCAGGCUCCAAACCAGUGUCCCUGAAGACAUGGUGUCACAGUAAAGAACUGAACUUUCACCGGAUUGCCUAUAAAGAAGACCCAGGGAAACUUAGGAGUGGCUCAGCAUAUCCUAUCAUUUUCUGACCAAGGAACUACCUCCUGUGUGACUGUAAGUUAUUAGAAGAAUGGGAGUGAGCCACUUGCAUCAAUAAGGUCUACCUGGGUGUCUUAGUCCAUUUCCUGCUAAAAGGAUACCCAAGGUGUUUCCAGAAAUGACUGGCAUGUAGGCCAGCAAACAAAGGGAUGGGGGUGACCCACCCUGCCUGUGGCUGGCACCAUCCAAUAGCCUAAGGGUCUGGACAGACUGAAAAAGGGAGGAGGAAGAAGUUGUCCUGUGUUUUUAAAGCUCCAUUUUGCCUGAGCGGGUCUUUGCUACCGCCAUUCCUUGUGGACAUCAGACUCCGGAUUCUUUGACUUCUCCUGGUGAGCUCAUGCUGUGGACGCUGUAGGGAACUUCCAGGCCUUCACUUUUGCGCUGGCGCUACAUCCCUGAUGACUUUUGCCCUGCAGCUUCCAGCUUCUUGGAUUGAGCAGUUACUGGAUCCUCUGGCUCACCAGCAUGCUGAGAACCAUUGUGGGCCAUCACACCUCUAAUCCUAUAAACCUACUGAAUAA